rnacentral:lncRNA from 1 species
AGCCUCCAGUUAGUAGUAUUCACAUUUAACACAUGUCCACUUCUUAAAUAUAGUAUCACUGUUAGGUUACCUAUGAUGUGUUUGUUUAUGUAAAAUUUGGGUUGUGUACAGAAUAAUAUAUGUUCUAUAUACAUCCAUUUUAUUCAUGUGUUAUGUUUUCAUUUUCUUUUUAACCCUACUAAUUGCCUGAGACAAAAGAAAUCCAUCUCUGUAGGUAGAUUUGAGAAUAUGGACUAAACUGGGCCCAACUUAGGUACUAGGUUUGUAGUUUAUUAAGAAGGGGGAAAAAUCAUCUACAGAAACACACUGAUGUAUGAAUAUGAAACAUAUAUGUAUAAACAUAAUUGUUUACCAGAGGAGCACAUUUUUAUGUUCAUAUGUAUUACAUGUGUAGCAAUAUAUGCAGUAUAUGCAUGUUAUCUAAUGUGGAUGUUAAAAAUUCUCUUAUUCUGUUGUGUAGACUUAUACUUUGAUUAGCUUACACUUAAUUGACUACAUCUCCUCCUAUUUAAGAUUUCAAUGACAUCAUUCCAGAGAACCCAGUAGCAUGAAAAUGAGAUAGUUCUUUGCACUUCCAAAUCUUAGUCCUUCAGCCUCCAACUACUAACUUGACCCAGCCUUUCCUCAGCCUAGGCCUCUGUGCCUGUCACUAUGGAGCAAGCUAUUCAAACUAAAGAGGUUUGUCUCCUAAAUGGUUGCAUCAGUCUCUGCUCUCAUUCAUAAAGGCCCAAAACAAAGAUUUAUUUGUUUCACUUAUAGUUUGUGGCAUUGUUCAUGGAUUUCUGGUGUGAUGAGCCAGAGGUAGAAAGCCUUUGCACCAGUGACUCAAAGAAAACCUGUCCAGCAUUUUCCAUUAGUUGUUCAUUAAAUUAAAUUGAAUAUGUCAUAAAAACACUCCCUACAAAUAAAAGUCCAGGACCAGAUGACUUCACAGGGGAAUUCUACCAACAUACAAAGAGGAACUUAUACUCAUCCUCCUUAAACUUUUUCAAAAGUUUGAAGAAGAAGGAACACUCCCAAAGACAUUCUAUGAUGCCACCAUCACCCUAAUUCCAAAACCAGACAAUGGUACUACCAAAAUAGAAAACUAUAGGCCAAUAUCUUUGAAUAUAGGUGCAAAAAUUCUCUUAACAAAAUUUUAGCCAACCAAAUCCAACAACAUAUAAAAAAGAUCAUAUACCAUGACCAGGUGGGAUUCAUCCCAGGUUCACAAGGAUGGUUCAACAUACACAAAUCAAUCAACGUCAUACGCCACAUUAACAAAAGGAAGAGUCAAAAACCACAUGAUCAUCUCAAUAGAUGCAGAAAAAGCAUUUGACAAAGUCCAAAAUCCAUUCAUGAUAAAAACUCUUACCAAAGUGUGUAUAGAGGGAACAUAGCUUAACAUAAUAAAAGUCAUUUAUGACAAAGCCGCAGCAAAUAUAAUACACAGUGGAGAAAAGCUGAAAGCCUUCCCACUAAAAUCUGGAACAAGACAAGGAUGCCCACUCUCACCACUGUUAUUCAACAUAGUACUGGAAGUCCUAGCCACAGCAAUCAGAC